UACAGAGGUCCCAAGCGUUGUUCGGAUUCACUGGGCGUAAAGGGUGCGUAGGUGGCGGGGUAAGUUUGAUGUGAAAUCUCCGAGCUUAACUCGGAAACUGCAUUGAAUACUAUCUCGCUAGAGGGUUGGAGGGGGGACUGGAAUUCUCGGUGUAGCAGUGAAAUGCGUAGAUAUCGAGAGGAACACCAGUGGCGAAGGCGAGUCCCUGGACAACUCCUGACACUGAGGCACGAAAGCUAGGGGAGCAAACAGG
rnacentral:rRNA from 1 species